rnacentral:lncRNA from 1 species
GGUGGACUGUGGAUUUCUUGGAGGCUUUCACCCACGGAAGUUAAAGAAUUAUGACAAUAAAUACCUGACAAAUUACAAAGAGUGGUCGACAAAACCUUGUUCAAUGGAAGGUAGAACACAGGCUACAGGUGAGAGUCAAGUAAGCAGCAGCAUCUUCACCCCAUUAAGACCUCACUGUAGAUGAGCAGCAGAAAGGCCCCAUGUGUAAGGGGCACAGGAGACAGUGGCCCUGCUUGGUGGCACUGCUUGAGG